UUGUGUGAGUGUAUAAAUAGCUGAUCUCCUUUUUGAGCCCUCUUCAGCGUCACCCUAGAAUCAGAUCUGCUCCCCAGCAUCUUCUGUUUCCUGGCGAGUGCUUUCUGCUACCUUGGAUUUUCCAUGACGGGCUGGAGCUGCCUUGUGACGGGAGCAGGAGGGUUUCUGGGUCGGAGGAUCGUCUGCCUGUUGGUGGAGGAGAAGGAGCUGAAGGAGAUCAGGGCCUUGGACAAGGCCUUCAGACCAGGAUUGAGGGAAGAAAUUUCUAAGCCCAGAAGAAAACCAAGG